GUGUAUGGCCACACCAACCUGAACGCGCCCGGUCUCGUCUGAUCUCGGAAGCAAAGCAUGGUCGGGCCUGGUUAAUACUUGGAAAGAGAAAGAGGAAGGCAGAAAAA
ensembl:rRNA 5S_rRNA 5S ribosomal RNA